AUGACGGGAGAUGUGGCCAAACCCUUGGACCCCCGUUGCCUUGGCUCUGGAGUCCAGAGUGUUUUCUGCAGUGGCUCAGUGGUCAUCUCUGGGCUGGAUGUAGGUGUUGGGGGUGCUUUGCCAAGGCCCAAGGUCCACCCCAUCUCAGUUCAGGGGCCAGGGUGCUUCCUCCAGCAGCUUGCUCUGCUCCUCCCCACCCUCAUCUCUCAGGGCACAGGGUCUCAGGUCCAGUCUACUCUGACUCAGCCUCCCUCAGUGUCCGGGGCUCUGCAACAGUCGGUCACCAUCUCCUGUGCUGGACCCAUCAGUGACAUUGGGGGUUAUAAUUAUGUCUCCUGGUACCAACAAAUCCCUGGCAAGGUCCUGACUUAUGAUGUCAGUACUCGCCAAUCAGGGAUCCCUGAUCACUCCUCUGGCUCCAUGUCUGGCAACACGGCCUCCUUGACCAUCUCUGGGCUCCAGCCUGAGGAGGAGGCUGAUUAUUUCUGUUGUUCAUAUUCAAGCAGCAACAUUGUACACAAGGGAGGAGGGAGGGAGGUUUCGGUA